UAUGAAGUUCCAAGGAUUCUGUUAUUGCAGCAUCAUCGAUUGCACCCGGGAGAUCCUGCUUGUUUGCAUAUACAAGUACAACAGCACGUUUCAACUCUUCCUCCUCCAAGAUAGCAUGAAACUCAUCCUUUGCAGUUACCAAUCUAUCAGUGUCACUAGAAUCAACAACAUAUAUAAUAGCUUGAGUGUUUGGAAAAUAGCAUCUCCAAUAUGGCCUGAUGCUUGUCUGUCCACCCAGAUCCCAGACUUGAAACUUGAUAUUGUUGUAUUGCACCGUCUCCACAUUAAACCCGAUUGUUGGAAUGGUGGAGACGACUUCCCCCAUCUGAAGUCGAUAGAGGAUUGUAGUUUUUCCG
rnacentral:misc_RNA from 1 species